GAUGAACGCUGGCGGCGUGCCUAAUACAUGCAAGUCGAGCGAACAGAUGAGGAGCUUGCUCCUCUGACGUUAGCGGCGGACGGGUGAGUAACACGUGGAUAACCUACCUAUAAGACUGGGAUAACUUCGGGAAACCGGAGCUAAUACCGGAUAAUAUAUUGAACCGCAUGGUUCAAUAGUGAAAGACGGUUUUGCUGUCACUUAUAGAUGGAUCCGCGCCGCAUUAGCUAGUUGGUAAGGUAACGGCUUACCAAGGCAACGAUGCGUAGCCGACCUGAGAGGGUGAUCGGCCACACUGGAACUGAGGCACGGUCCAGACUCCUACGGGAGGCAGCAGUAGGGAAUCUUCCGCAAUGGGCGAAAGCCUGACGGAGCAACGCCGCGUGAGUGAUGAAGGUCUUCGGAUCGUAAAACUCUGUUAUUAGGGAAGAACAAAUGUGUAAGUAACUAUGCACGUCUUGACGGUACCUAAUCAGAAAGCCACGGCUAACUACGU
rnacentral:rRNA from 1 species